rnacentral:rRNA from 1 species
UACGUAGGGUGCGAGCGUUAAUCGGAAUUACUGGGCGUAAAGCGUGCGCAGGCGGCUAUGCAAGACAGAUGUGAAAUCCCCGGGCUUAACCUGGGAACUGCAUUUGUGACUGCAUGGCUAGAGUACGGUAGAGGGGGAUGGAAUUCCGCGUGUAGCAGUGAAAUGCGUAGAUAUGCGGAGGAACACCGAUGGCGAAGGCAAUCCCCUGGACCUGUACUGACGCUCAUGCACGAAAGCGUGGGGAGCAAACAGG